rnacentral:snRNA from 1 species
AUGCUUGCUUCAGUAGCCCACACACUAAACUGAAACGAUACAGAGAAGAUUAACAUGAUCCCUGUACAAGGAUGCUAUGCAAAUUCAUGAAGUUUUCCAUAUUUUU